GUCGGGAAUUUUGGGCAAUGGGCGAAAGCCUGACCCAGCAACGCCGCGUGAGGGAUGAAGGCCCUCGGGUCGUAAACCUCUGUCGGAAGGGAAGAACGACCGCAAGGUGAAUAAUCUUGGGGUCUGACGGUACCUUCAAAGGAAGCGCCGGCUAACUCCGUGCCAGCAGCCGCGGUAAUACGGAGGGCGCAAGCGUUGUUCGGAAUCAUUGGGCGUAAAGCGCGUGUAGGCGGCUUGGCAAGUCGGAUGUGAAAUCCCGGGGCUCAACCCCGGAACUGCAUUCGAAACUGCCUCGCUAGAGUCCCGGAGAGGAGGGCGGAAUUCCCGGUGUAGAGGUGAAAUUCGUAGAUAUCGGGAGGAACACCAGUGGCGAAGGCGGCCCUCUGGACGGUGACUGACGCUGAGAUGCGAAAGCGUGGGGAGCAAACAGGAUUAGAAACCCGAGUAGUCC
rnacentral:rRNA from 1 species